rnacentral:rRNA from 1 species
GACGAACGCUGGCGGCGUGCUUAACACAUGCAAGUCGAACGAAGUGGAGCACGGGUGAGUAACGCGUAAUCAACCUGCCCUUCCGAGGGGGACAACAGUUGGAAACCACUUCUAAUACCGCCUACUGAAGUAGGGGGUUGCGUCUGAUUAGCGAGUUGGCGGGGUAACGGCCCACCAAGGCGAUGCUCAUUAGCCGGUCUGAGAGGAUGAACGGCAACAUUGGGACUGAGACACUGCCCAGACGCCUACGGGAGGCAGCAGUGGGGAAUCUUCCGCAAUGGACGAAAGGCUGACGGAGCAACGCCGCGUGAGUGAUGACGGCCUUCGGGUUGUAAAGCUCUGUUAAUCGGGACGCGGUACCGGAAUAGAAAGCCACGGCUAACUACGUGCCAGCAGCCGCGGUAAUAC